CCUGGCUCAGAACGAACGCUGGCGGCAGGCCUAACACAUGCAAGUCGAGCGAAGACUUCGGUCUUAGCGGCGGACGGGUGAGUAACGCGUGGGAACGUGCCCUUCUCUACGGAAUAGUCCCGGGAAACUGGGUUUAAUACCGUAUACGCCCUUCGGGGGAAAGAAUUUCGGAGAAGGAUCGGCCCGCGUUGGAUUAGGUAGUUGGUGGGAUAAAAGCCUACCAAGCCGACGAUCCAUAGCUGGUUUGAGAGGAUGAUCAGCCACACUGGGACUGAGACACGGCCCAGACUCCUACGGGAGGCAGCAGUGGGGAAUCUUAGACAAUGGGGGAAACCCUGAUCUAGCCAUGCCGCGUGAGUGACGAAGGCCCUAGGGUCGUAAAGCUCUUUCGCCAGGGAAGAUAAUGACUGUACCUGGUAAAGAAACCCCGGCUAACUCCGUGCCAGCAGCCGCGGUAAUACGGAGGGUCCGAGCGUUAAUCGGAAUUACUGGGCGUAAAGCGCGCGUAGGCGGACUAUUAAGUCAGAGGUGAAAUCCCGGGGCUCAACCCCGGAACUGCCUUUGAUACUGGUAGUCUUGAGUUCGAGAGAGGUAAGUGGAAUUCCGAGUGUAGAGGUGAAAUUCGUAGAUAUUCGGAGGAACACCAGUGGCGAAGGCGGCUUACUGGCUCGAUACUGACGCUGAGGUGCGAAAGUGUGGGGAGCAAACAGGAUUAGAUACCCUGGUAGUCCACACCGUAAACGAUGAAUGCCAGUCGUCGGGUAGCAUGCUAUUCGGUGACACACCUAACGGAUUAAGCAUUCCGCCUGGGGAGUACGGUCGCAAGAUUAAAACUCAAAGGAAUUGACGGGGGCCCGCACAAGCGGUGGAGCAUGUGGUUUAAUUCGACGCAACGCGCAGAACCUUACCAACCCUUGACAUCUGGAUCGCGGUUCCCCGAGAGGGGUUCCUUCAGUUCGGCUGGAUCCAAGACAGGUGCUGCAUGACUGUCGUCAGCUCGUGUCGUGAGAUGUUGGGUUAAGUCCCGCAACGAGCGCAACCCUCGCCCUUAGUUGCCAGCAGUUCGGCUGGGCACUCUAGGGGAACUGCCGGUGAUAAGCCGGAGGAAGGUGGGGAUGACGUCAAGUCCUCAUGGCCCUUACGGGAUGGGCUACACACGUGCUACAAUGGCGGUGACAAUGGGUUAAUCCCCAAAAACCGUCUCAGUUCGGAUUGUCGCCUGCAACUCGGCGGCAUGAAGUUGGAAUCGCUAGUAAUCGCGUAACAGCAUGACGCGGUGAAUACGUUCCCGGGCCUUGUACACACCGCCCGUCACACCAUGGGAGUUGGGUCUACCCGAAGACGGUGCGCCGACCUCGCAAGAGGGGGCAGCCGGCCACGGUAAUCAGCGACUG
rnacentral:rRNA from 1 species